rnacentral:tRNA from 1 species
GGAGAGAUGGCUCAAUGGUUAAGAGCACUGGCUGCUCUUCCAGAGGACCUGGGUUCAAUUCCCAGCCACCCA